rnacentral:rRNA from 1 species
AUUGUACGCUGGCGGCAUGCUUUACACAUGCAAGUCGAACGGCAGCGCGGGCUUCGGCCUGGCGGCGAGUGGCGAACGGGUGAGUAAUACAUCGGAACGUGCCCAGUAGUGGGGGAUAGCUCGGCGAAAGCCGGAUUAAUACCGCAUACGACCUGAGGGUGAAAGCGGGGGAUCUUCGGACCUCGCGCUAUUGGAGCGGCCGAUGGCAGAUUAGCUAGUUGGUGGGGUAAAGGCCUACCAAGGCGACGAUCUGUAGCUGGUCUGAGAGGACGACCAGCCACACUGGGACUGAGACACGGCCCAGACUCCUACGGGAGGCAGCAGUGGGGAAUUUUGGACAAUGGGCGAAAGCCUGAUCCAGCAAUGCCGCGUGUGUGAUGAAGGCCUUCGGGUUGUAAAGCACUUUUGGCGGGAACGAAAAGGACUGUGCCAAUACCACGGUUCGAUGACGGUACCCGCAGAAUAAGCACCGGCUAACUACGUG